CCUACGGGAGGCAGCAGUGAGGAAUAUUGGUCAAUGGACGCAAGUCUGAACCAGCCAUGCCGCGUGCAGGAAGACGGCUCUAUGAGUUGUAAACCUCUUUAGGCGGGGAGCAAUGCCGGGCACGCGUGCCCGGAGGGAGAGUACCCGCAGAAUAAGCAUCGGCUAACUCCGUGCCAGCAGCCGCGGUAAUACGGAGGAUGCGAGCGUUAUCCGGAUUUAUUGGGUUUAAAGGGUGCGUAGGCGGAUUUUUAAGUCAGCGGUAAAAUGUCCGGGCUCAACCCGGGCCGGCCGUUGAAACUGGGGAUCUUGAGUGGGCGAGAAGUAUGCGGAAUGCGUGGUGUAGCGGUGAAAUGCAUAGAUAUCACGCAGAACUCCGAUUGCGAAGGCAGCAUACCGGCGCCCGACUGACGCUGAGGCACGAAAGCGUGGGGAUCGAACAGGAUUAGAUACCCGUGUAGUC
rnacentral:rRNA from 1 species